rnacentral:tRNA from 1 species
GUGGUUCAGUAGUAGAACUCCCACCUUCCAUGUGGGAGACUCAGGUUCUAUUCCUGGC